CAAAUCCUAAUCAAUGAGCUUUAAUAAGCUGUAACAUCUAAUUUGACCAUCUACUUUAUGUAAAAUUUUGCAUGCAAUUGUCAAUGUAAUUCUUCUAUAUAUUCAAGAAUUUUCAAUCCAAUCCAACCUACAGAUUGUGAGAAAACCUCCAAAAAUUGUACUAAUGUUACUCGGCUGCCAACUUGAAAAGUGAAGCAAAAAUCCCAAUAGUGAUUUCUCUUUCUCCAACUAUUAACUUUAACUCAAAAUUGGUUUGCAGCUUGAUCUUUAAGUCCUUCAAUAUCAUGCCAAAUUUCACCUUGAUCCAACUAAUAGAUCUCCAAAUAUCACAAAAACCCUACUCAACCUCAAACUGCCAACUUCUGAAACCCUCUUGUACUAAAAACCAAAUAUCUUUUAACAACGCCGUUAGAUUAUCACAAAAUUUUGUAUAUACUUAGCACACUUAAUAAUCCAAAUAGUAACAAAUUUUGAACUAUAGAUGCUACACCAAUUGCACGAAUUAACCAAAAUUGUUAGCCCUAAUUAUUUUAUAUAAAAUCCAAAUCACCAAUACAAACCUUGACUUUGAAUAAUAAUUAAUAAGUCCUCAAAAAUCCUCCAAAAACAAUCCUUAUGCCUUUGAAAAGAGC
rnacentral:lncRNA from 1 species